rnacentral:rRNA from 1 species
GACGAACGCUGGCGGCGUGCUUAACACAUGCAAGUCGAACGGAAAGGCCUGCUUUCCCUUGUGGAUUGCGGGUACUCGAGUGGCUAACGGGUGAGUAACACGUGAGUGAUCUGCCCCCAACUUGGGUAUAAGCCUGGGAAACUGGGUCUAAUUCCCGAUAGGACUGCAGGGUGGUGCCUGUGGUGGAAAACGAUUUUCUAGUGGUUGGGGAUGAGCUCGCGGCCUAUCAGCUUGUUGGUGGGGUAAUGGCCUACCAAGGCGGCGACGGGUAGCCGGCCUGGGAGGGUGGACGGCCACAUUGGGACUGAGAUACGGCCCAGACUCCUACGGGAGGCAGCAGUGGGGAAUAUUGCACAAUGGGCGGAAGCCUGAUGCAGCGACGCCGCGUGGGGGAUGACGGCCUUCGGGUUGUAAACUCCUUUCGACCGCGAGGAAGCCACCUGGUUGGAAGGGUGGUGACGGUAGUGGUAGAAGAAGCACCGGCUAACUACGUG